GACGAACGCUGGCGGCGUGCCUAAUACAUGCAAGUCGAACGCAGUGGGGACGGAUGAGUAACACGUGGGUAACCUCCCAUCAGAGGGGAGAACACUUGGCAACAGGUGCUAAACCGAUACUGAUGGAUGAACCCGGGGGGGAUUAGCUAGUUGGUGAGGGAACGUCUUACCAAGGCAACGAUGCAUAGCCGAUCUGAUAGGAUGAUCAGCCACACUGGAACUGAGACACGGCCCAGACUCCUACGGGAGGCAGCAGGAGGGAAUCUUCGACAAUGGACGAAAGUCUGACCGAGCCACGCCGCGGGAGUGAAGAAGGUUUUCGGAUCGUAAAGCACUGUUGUUGGGGAAGCGGUAUCUAAACAUAAAGCAACGGCUAACUACGUGCCAGCCGCCGCGGUAAUAC
rnacentral:rRNA from 1 species